GCCGGUUUGGCUCAGUGGAUAGAGCGUCGGUACAGCCUGAAGAGUUACAGGUUUGAUUCCUGUCAAGGGCA
rfam:Myotis brandtii contig176969, whole genome shotgun sequence.